UGAUAGCUGUGAAGCGUGAGGUUGCUGCGAUACAAUCGCAGGUUUUCCGUGGAGCGAAUGUCAAAUAAUUCUGGCGACAA
rfam:Eubacterium sp. CAG:38 genomic scaffold, scf94